rnacentral:misc_RNA from 1 species
AGUCAAUGUCCUGGUUCUCUG